GAUGAACGCUGGCGGCGUGCCUAAUACAUGCAAGUCGAGCGAACAGACGAGGAGCUUGCUCCUCUGACGUUAGCGGCGGACGGGUGAGUAACACGUGGAUAACCUACCUAUAAGACUGGGAUAACUUCGGGAAACCGGAGCUAAUACCGGAUAAUAUAUUGAACCGCAUGGUUCAAUAGUUAAAGACGGUUUUGCUGUCACUUAUAGAUGGAUCCGCGCCGCAUUAGCUAGUUGGUAAGGUAACGGCUUACCAAGGCAACGAUGCGUAGCCGACCUGAGAGGGUGAUCGGACAUACUGGAACUGAGACACGGCCCAGACUCCUACGGGAGGCAGCAGUAGGGAAUCUUCCGCAAUGGGCGAAAGCCUGACGGAGCAACGCCGCGUGAGUGAUGAAGGUCUUCGGAUCGUAAAACUCUGUUAUUAGGGAAGAACAAAUGUGUAAGUAACUAUGCACGUCUUGACGGUACCUAAUCAGAAAGCCACGGCUAACUACGUG
rnacentral:rRNA from 1 species